GAGUGUUGUGAUAUAAGUAACUCGCCUCUUCACUUUCUUUUUUGAUGCCUGCCAAUUAUUUAACAUGAAUAUCAAACAUUUAUUUGAAUAUAAACACUACUGAAUUAAUAGCAGAUGAUCAAGAGAGAGAUUUAACUUUUAUGCAUGGAUUAGCAAAUGGUUCAGUUUCGAAUCUUUAUAUUCGACUAAAGUUUGACUAGUGUGCCACUAUAUAAAACAGAUGAUCCACUCGAUUGUUUUCAUGUGUGCAUGUUUUAUUGAAACUUUGUGUAACUACUUCCUUAGCGCCAGUGUGCCAACUAUAUGCGACAGUGGUUAAGAACAGCAACAAACACUCUGAAACUUCUAGAUUUCAGUGACAUCUUACAAAUGGCAAAGUUGGUAUACGAAUACAGGAUGAGAAUGGUGGCAGUGCAGGCGAUUCUAUGUCAUUAGCGUAAAGCAACGUCGAAUCGGCUUGGUUUGUUAUGGAUCAACUGAGAGUGAGAGAGAAGAAAGCAACAUUUAUACUGUACAUAAGAAGAAGGUUAAUGAGUGAAAAUAACAUAUAUAUAUAAGGGCAAAUCUCCAAAAUGGCACUUUUCUAAGUUUAUAUCACAAAAAUAGCACUCAAAAACUAAAAUGACCAAAAUAGCACCUUUCUAAGUUUAUCCUUUGAAAAUUUUAAUUUUUUUAUUUUUCAAAAUUUGAAAUCUUAUCCCCAAAACCUCAUUUCUCAACUCUAAACCCUACACCCUAAACUCUAAACCCUAAACCGUAAACCAUAAACCCUAAACUCUAAACCCUAAACCCUAAACUCUAAACCCUAAACUCUAAACCCUAAACCCUAAAAUCUAAACCCUAAACCCUAAACUCUAAACCCUAAACCCUAAACCCUAAACCCCACCCUUUAACU
rnacentral:lncRNA from 1 species